CGCGUAGGCGGACUGGAAAGUUGGGGGUGAAAUCCCGGGGCUCAACCCCGGAACUGCCUCCAAAACUAUCAGUCUAGAGUUCGAGAGAGGUGAGUGGAAUUCCGAGUGUAGAGGUGAAAUUCGUAGAUAUUCGGAGGAACACCAGUGGCGAAGGCGGCUCACUGGCUCGAUACUGACGCUGAGGUGCGAAAGUGUGGGGAGCAAACA
rnacentral:rRNA from 1 species